rnacentral:rRNA from 1 species
UGGGGGAUAUUGCACAAUGGGGGAAACCCUGAUGCAGCGACGCCGCGUGAGGGAAGAAGGUUUUCGGAUUGUAAACCUCUGUCUUGUGGGACGAUAAUGACGGUACCACAGGAGGAAGCCACGGCUAACUACGUGCCAGCAGCCGCGGUAAUACGUAGGUGGCAAGCGUUGUCCGGAAUUACUGGGUGUAAAGGGAGCGUAGGCGGGAAUGCAAGUUGAAUGUUUAACCUAUCGGCUCAACCGAUAGUCGCGUUCAAAACUGUAUUUCUUGAGUGAAGUAGAGGCAAGCGGAAUUCCUAGUGUAGCGGUGAAAUGCGUAGAUAUUAGGAGGAACACCAGUGGCGAAGGCGGCUUGCUGGGCUUUUACUGACGCUGAGGCUCGAAAGCGUGGGUAGCAAACA